UACGAAGGGGGCUAGCGUUGCUCGGAAUCACUGGGCGUAAAGGGUGCGUAGGCGGGUCUUAAGUCAGGGGUGAAAUCCUGGAGCUCAACUCCAGAACUGCCCUUGAUACUGAGGAUCUCGAGUUCGGGAGAGGUGAGUGGAACUGCGAGUGUAGAGGUGAAAUUCGUAGAUAUUCGCAAGAACACCAGUGGCGAAGGCGGCUCACUGGCCCGAUACUGACGCUGAGGUGCGAAAGCGUGGGGAGCAAACAGG
rnacentral:rRNA from 1 species